CUCUUGCAAUGGUAUAUGUGUUUCACCUCAAGAUGCAGAUCCUGUUUAUGAUACAUUUAAUGAGAUCAAAGAAACAGCUGUAAGCCUCCUAGUAAAUAAUACUGAAGGUGUUUUUCACAGUUCAAAUGGUGCUGAGGCAGGCCAAAAUCUGGCAGUUACCCAAAAUGCUGUGGAGGAACCCACUUAUUCACAGAGAAAUUAUUCCACUCCUCAAGUGAUAAUAUGUCAGUUGAAAAAUGGCACUCAUAUACUUUGUGUAAACAAUACUGAGACAAGAGAAUUGAAAGCUAUUCAUUUGGUUCCCCAGUAUCAAGAACAGCGUAAGUAUUUAUAAUAGAUAUAUUGUUUCUGAUAUUCAAAUUAU
rnacentral:lncRNA from 1 species